rnacentral:rRNA from 1 species
GUGGGGAAUAUUGCACAAUGGGCGAAAGCCUGAUGCAGCAACGCCGCGUGAGGGACGACGGCCUUCGGGUUGUAAACCUCUUUUAGUAGGGAAGAAGCGAAAGUGACGGUACCUGCAGAAAAAGCACCGGCUAACUACGUGCCAGCAGCCGCGGUAAUACGUAGGGUGCAAGCGUUAUCCGGAAUUAUUGGGCGUAAAGAGCUCGUAGGCGGUCUGUCGCGUCUGCUGUGAAAACUGGAGGCUCAACCUCCAGCCUGCAGUGGGUACGGGCAGACUAGAGUGCGGUAGGGGAGAUUGGAAUUCCUGGUGUAGCGGUGGAAUGCCCAGAUAUCAGGAGGAACACCGAUGGCGAAGGCAGAUCUCUGGGCCGUAACUGACGCUGAGGAGCGAAAGCGUGGGGAGCGAACAGGAUUAGAAACCCUAGUAGUCC